CUUGAUAUGUUCAUCCUAACCGAUGACGGAUACUCUUGUUUUGGUAUUCUAUCCAGUAACCGAUAGAUGUAAUUCCUAUUUCUCCCCUAUGAGUCUAUCCUUGAUAUGUUCAUCUUAACCAGUGACGGAUAUUCUCUUUUCGGUAUUCUAUCCAGUAUUCGAUAGAUGUAAUUCCUACUUUUUUAGGAAGUUUAUCCUUGAUAUGUUCAUCUUAACCGGUG
rnacentral:lncRNA from 1 species